rnacentral:lncRNA from 1 species
GUUUAGCCUUUGUUCCCCUUCCUACUGGAUGGCUAAUUAUUGUCCCUGGCUAAACCAUUGAGUCAGAUGGCUAAAGUAAUACAGCCUGGAGAAGAUUAAAGAGCUAUCAAAUUUUUAUCUCGCGGAGGGAAAAGUCCUUUUAGACUAUGCGUGGCAAGGAGCUCUCUCUGCCUGACCGCUGUGCCUUUGCUCUGCACCUGAGACGCAGCUCCAGUUGAUGUUACCUCCCGCACAGAAAGAAAAGAGGAAAGCAUUGCUCUGAGAACUCACCAAAAGGCCUAUGUUUCUUCUUCAUGCACCAGGUGCAGCCUCUGCUCUGAGACCAUGCAAGGAGUGCAGAAYAAAAGACCAUAAGGAUAAUGGUACUGGGCUGGAUGCAAGGGUGUCUAGCUCCUUGUCCUGCUCCAGCAGCGAGCCACAGUUGAUCCUCAUGGAAAUGCACAUGGAAAGGCCUUUUUUGGGUCAGUUUAA